rnacentral:rRNA from 1 species
AUUGAACGCUGGCGGCAUGCCUUACACAUGCAAGUCGAACGGCAGCACGGGAGCAAUCCUGGUGGCGAGUGGCGAACGGGUGAGUAAAGUAUCGGAACGUGCCCAGUCGUGGGGGAUAACGUAGCGAAAGUUACGCUAAUACCGCAUACGAUCUAUGGAUGAAAGCGGGGGAUCGCAAGACCUCGCGCGAUUGGAGCGGCCGAUAUCAGAUUAGGUAGUUGGUGGGGUAAAGGCUCACCAAGCCGACGAUCUGUAGCUGGUCUGAGAGGACGACCGGCCACACUGGGACUGAGACACGGCCCAGACUCCUACGGGAGGCAGCAGUGGGGAAUUUUGGACAAUGGGCGAAAGCCUGAUCCAGCCAUGCCGCGUGCAGGAUGAAGGCCUUCGGGUUGUAAACUGCUUUUGUACGGAGCGAAAAGGUUUGGGCUAAUAAGCUGAGCUCAUGACGGUACCGUAAGAAUAAGCACCGGCUAACUACGUGCCAGCCGCCGCCGUAA